rnacentral:rRNA from 1 species
UCUGAAUCUUUGCGAACGGCUCCGCACACCAGUUGCAAACCAAAGCAAGCAAGCCCGGUCUCGACGCCUUUCGGGGCUAGGGGCCGGGCUACAAGGAUAACCCUGGUAAUUCUGAGGCUAAUACUUGACACGAACCUGCUGACUGGGUCUCGGCUCGGGAGGUGGGGGAUGUGCGACUAUCGGGCCAACGAAACCGGAAAGAGCGCACGUUCAGACCACUUAAAAAGGCUUCGGGGUCCUUCGGGAUCCCGGGGCUGUGGCUCUUGCAGCGUGCUUCUGACCUAUCAACUAGACGGCAGCCUAAGGGACAUGCUUUGGUGACAACGGUA